rnacentral:rRNA from 1 species
AUUGAACGCUGGCGGCAGGCCUAACACAUGCAAGUCGAGCGAUCGGCGGACGGGUGAGUAAUGUCUGGGAAACUGCCUGAUGGAGGGGGAUAACUACUGGAAACGGUAGCUAAUACCGCAUACCAUCGGCAGUGCCCAGCUGGGAUUAGGUAGUAGGUGGGGUAACGGCUCAACUAGGCGACGAUCCCUAGCUGGUCUGAGAGGAUGAACAGGCACACUGUAACUGAGACACGGUCCAGACUCCUGCGGAAGGCAGCAGUGGGGAAUAUUGGCCAAUGGGGGCAAGCCUGAUGCAGCCAAGCCGCGUGUAUGAAGCAGGCCUUAGGGUUGUAAAGUACUUUCAGCGGGGAGGCGUUGCCCGCAGAAGAAGCACCGGCUAACUCAGUGCCAGCAGCCGCUGUAAUUC